CUUUCCUCCCCUCAUUGUCUCACUGAAUCUCAGGCAAACAAUGGGAAGCUCAGCAGCCUGAAUGAAGCAGCGGCACCACCCACAUCUCUUCACAAUGACCGACAAGAGCCACAGGCAACAGCAGGCUGUUCACGCUGUCCAGAGAAGGACAAAAUAAUCCCAUGUGACAUCCCUACUGACAGCCUCUUAAACACCCCAAAUCAAGAGUAUCAUCUAUUUACCAUGCCAGUGUCAUAUUCAAAUUCUCUUUGUCAAACACACUCGAAUCAUUUGUCGAACAUGAACUUUCCAUUAGCACAGAUGCUGCUUCCUUUACCAUACAUUGACUCAGGUCUAAACCAAACACCGUCAUCUCACCUUCAUAAUUACAGCUUUCCCGAUCACGAGAUGAGUGACACUUCCUCCGAUGCUGUGUUUUUGCCAGCCAACAUUCCCCAUUCUUAUCUUGGACAGAGUCUUGUUUGUUGCCAGACUCCAGUAUCAUUUAUGCCUUUUUUUAGUGUAUUACCUACCCAAACAGUUGGCGCUUACUCCUCAUGUGGUAGCAGUUCUGUACCUCCUCAAAACCAAGCUCUAGGCACAGUGUCUGUCCAUGGACCACCCACCUCAGAUGUUACUCUUGCAGCUGAACCAAGCUUUCAACUGCUCACUGCUGAAAGGUAAAUUGUCAGAAUGAUUGCUUCUUGUGAAACCACUAGAGGGCAGCACAGAUUUGGAAACGUUUUGAUUCCAUUAUGUGUUGACUGGCCAUGAUGUUGACAACCAUAAUCUAGACAAUUCUUCUGCUCAGUCUCUGAGGGCAGCACAGGCUCGGUUUCAUUUUUCACCUCAACACAGGUGCUGCAACAUUUAUGUCUAAUAUCUGUUUCACAUCAUAAAAGUGACAAAGCGACUGCACACAGACUUCAAUAUCUGCAAAAACGUUCUUUCCAGCUCCCUGGUCAAUGCUCACCUGUCUCGUUUAUCAGCAUGUCCACAUCUCCUCUCUAAGAAACCAGUCAGGAGAGAGCUCUUGUCAAGUCCUCUGGACUUCUUGCCCAAAUCAGCCCCAUGCC